rnacentral:rRNA from 1 species
AUUGAACGCUGGCGGCAGGCCUAACACAUGCAAGUCGAGCGGAUGAAGGGAGCUUGCUCCUGGAUUCAGCGGCGGACGGGUGAGUAAUGCCUAGGAAUCUGCCUGGUAGUGGGGGAUAACGUCCGGAAACGGGCGCUAAUACCGCAUACGUCCUGAGGGAGAAAGUGGGGGAUCUUCGGACCUCACGCUAUCAUAUGAGCCUAGGUCGGAUUAGCUAGUUGGUGGGGUAACGGCCUACCAAGGCGACGAUCCGUAACUGGUCUGAGAGGAUGAUCAGUCACACUGGAACUGAGACACGGACCAGACUCCUACGGGAGGCAGCAGUGGGGAAUAUUGGACAAUGGGCGAAAGCCUGAUCCAGCCAUGCCGCGUGUGUGAAGAAGGUCUUCGGAUUGUAAAGCACUUUAAGUUGGGAGGAAGGGCAGUAAGUUAAUACCUUGCUGUUUUGACGUUACCAACAGAAUAAGCACCGGCUAACUUCGUG